rnacentral:tRNA from 1 species
UAGGACAUGAUGUGUUAGGUAGCAUGAAGAAUUUUGGAUUCUUAAGAUUAGGUUCAAAUCCUAUGGUUCUAG